AGGGCACCACCAGGAGUGGAGCCUGCGGCUUAAUUUGACCCAACACGGGAAAACUCACCCGGCCCGGACACUGGAAGGAUUGACAGAUUGAGAGCUCUUUCUUGAUUCAGUGGGUGGUGGUGCAUGGCCUUUCUUAGUUGGUGGAGUGAUUUGUCUGGUUAAUUCCGAUAACGAGCGAGACUCUAGCCUACUAAAUAGAUCGUCGGCUUACAAACGCCGGCGAGACUUCUUAGAGGGACAGGCGGUGAUUCAACCGCACGAAACAGAGCAAUAACAGGUCUGUGAUGCCCUUAGAUGUCCGGGGCCGCACGCGCGCUACACUGAAGUGAUCAGCGUGCUUUUUCAACCUACUCUGUCAAGAGUGGGGAACCCAAUGAACCUUCUUCGUGAUUGGGAUAGGGGAUUGUAAUUAUUCCCCUUGAACGAGGAAUUCCCAGUAAGCGCGAGUCAUAAGCUCGCGUUGAUUACGUCCCUGCCCUUUGUACACACCGCCCGUCGCUACUACCGAUUGAAUGUUUU
rnacentral:rRNA from 1 species